CGCAAACCGACACAGGUAGUCAAGAUGAGAAUUCUAAGGUGAGCGAGCGAACUCUCGUUAAGGAACUCGGCAAAAUGACCCCGUAACUUCGGGAGAAGGGGUGCUCUUUAGGGUUAACGCCCAGAAGAGCCGCAGUGAAUAGGCCCAAGCGACUGUUUAUCAAAAACACAGGUCUCUGCUAAACCGUAAGGUGAUGUAUAGGGGCUGACGCCUGCCCGGUGCUGGAAGGUUAAGAGGAGUGGUUAGCUUCUGCGAAGCUACGAAUCGAAGCCCCAGUAAACGGCGGCCGUAACUAUAACGGUCCUAAGGUAGCGAAAUU
rnacentral:rRNA from 1 species